rnacentral:rRNA from 1 species
GUGCCAGCAGCCGCGGUAAUACGUAGGGCGCGAGCGUUGUCCGGAAUUAUUGGGCGUAAAGGGCUCGUAGGCGGUUUGUCGCGUCUAGCGUUUAAGGCUCGGGCUUAACCCGGGUUUGCGUUGGGUACGGGCAGGCUUGAGUGCGGUAGGGGUAACUGGAAUUCCUGGUGUAGCGGUGGAAUGCGCAGAUAUCAGGAGGAACACCGGUGGCGAAGGCGGGUUACUGGGCCGUUACUGACGCUGAGGAGCGAGAGCGUGGGGAGCGAACAGGAUUAGAUACCCUGGUAGUCC